rnacentral:lncRNA from 1 species
GCAGCGCCAAAGCCUGGGCUGCCAUCUUGCCCCCCGACGCAGGGGCUGGCCCAGCGGCCCAGUUCCCGGGGCGCUUUCCUGAACCUCGCGAGAUCUGAUCACAGCCUCCUUGUCCCUGAGAUGGCUAUGGGGCUGCCAAGCCUCGCGAGAAGCCUCCGUUAGGGCCGUGUCAACUGUAGCCAGUGGUUGCGGCUCCCUCAGUCUGGCGUCAUCUAGGUCGCUGCUCAGGGAAAUGCGGAGGCCAGUAGGCUUACGUGUUUACCGCGUAGGGCAAAGCCUUGCCAAAUUCCCGGCCAGCGGAGCGGCGAGGGUGGGGACUCACGGGAAGUUAAACAGCCUCGUCGGCGUCCUCGAGGCUCCAAAACCAGGCUCUAGGCGGGGACGACUGCAGCCGUUAUGGAGGCCACCGCGGCUACGGCCGCGGCUGAGGCCUCCCCAGGUGGAGCGGUGGCCUGGAGGGGAAUCUUGAUCCUGGGCCAGCCACCUGUCAAGAGGAGGCGGAGCGUCAUGCCUCUGGAAGACUGGAUGAAUAUUCUCCAGGAGCCUGACGAAGGCGGCCAUGCUGGAUAAGGAGCUGGCUGCCUCUGUGAACAUCCUACUCAAGGCAUCUUCACUGCUGUACAUCCUUUUGAAAUCCCAGAGAUCUUCAGUCUCCCUGUGGAUUAAGGAGAUGUGCAGUAUUUAAAGUGGCUUCAGGAAGGCAUGGAAGAGGACUGAGUGGGGAAAGCUUUUUGUGCAUGCUGCUGGCUACCUCCAGCGGCUGCCUCCAGCCUCCAUCAGCUGCACUCUGGGGAAGAGGAGGCUGCCUUCUACCUCCCAGCAUCUCUGGAUUUCAUGUUCCUGUCAGCACAGAGGAGCUAAAUGGCCUGUAGAGGCUGAAGGUCUGAGGCUCCUAAAGCUGGAAGAAAAGGCUGGGCCAGUCAGGCCAAGCAAGAACACAGUGUAACUUGUCUCUGAGUGCUUCAUGGUUAAGGGGGCUAAGCAGGCACAAGGGCAUGAGGAUGGUUAUAUGUACAGACUGAGGGGAAGAAGCAGUGAAGAUGAGACUUGCCAUCUUCUUGAGUCAGUAGGCCUGCCUCAGGUGCCUAGGAUGUAAUUGCUCUGCUGCUUCUCAUGGGGAGGAGUGGCCCUCAUGACCUUGUUUACCUGGAAGAGUGUGGGAUGAAUGCCUCCUCCUAUGGGGACUCGCAAGUGCUUUAGCAAAAGGAUAAAUUGCUAAUUGUGGCAUUUCGUGGAUCAGCAGGAUUAUUUCUCCUUGCUAAAGAGGAUUUUGUUGGUCCUGAAUUCUGAGGAGGUGGGACUAGGAAUGGGCUCCAUGAGCCUGUGUAUGACUCAGGGAAUAUUAGGACUUUGGCACAGCCUCAUGGGUUGGGAGUAAGUCUUGGCUCUUCCCUAGCCUGAAUGACAGACAUCAGAUCAUUCUGGUGCUUUGUCCAUGAAGAUGUAGAUUCUGAGCCCACCCAACUAAUCUUUUCACUUGAGCACAGAAACAGCCCCGGGAAUCGGACAGACCCGUGUCUUUCAGGUUUGCUUCACAGAGCCCCAGGGGUUGACAAUAGGUGCCUUGGAGACUGCCUGCAUGGGGAUUUUUAAAAAGCUUUCUUUGUUAAAGGUUUGUAAACCACUCCUCUGAGCCUGUUUUCAUUUUAUAGAUUAUUCAGGGAACUGAACUGCACAGAGAUCCAGAAAGUGGGUAGUGCAGGCUGUAGUGCUGAUAACUACUGUACUACUUGGAUCUUUGUGCUCCCAAAUACCAAAUGGAAGAGGAUCUCUGAGAGUCCUUUGCAAAGAUCUUGUAGGGACUUUAGGCUGGGGCCUUCGGAAAAUUCCAGAGGAUUCCAAUGGAGAUUUUGAGGGACUGACUCAGAAGAACAAAGAGAAUGAUAAUGGUGAUGUCCCUGCUUUUUACAACAGAUCAUGUUCUGAUAUAUAUGCAAAUCUGUGUAAAGUAAACCCUACCUAAAAUGUACUGGGGACCCAAGAUGGACUGCCUGUAUUGCUUCCAGGAUAAAGUCCAAUUUCUAGCUCUGGUUUUUAUAACCUUGCUUCAGCUCACCUUUUCCGUCAUCAUCCCCUCCAUCUCCUCUCCCACGCUGGGAAAUGGAUGGCUGCACUAUACUGUGUGAUGUUAUUGCUAUGUUCAUGCCAUCCCCUCUGCCUGGAAUGCCCUUCUGCAUGAAUGCCUGUGAAAUGUUGUUGCUCCUUUGUAUGGCCUGGCUUCCGUGGUUGGCAGGAAUCUCUUCUUUCGUGGUAUUCCUGUCAUCUUUGUGCAUCACAGUCAGCUUUGUAUUCCUAGCUUGUAAGCUACUUGAGGAUAGGGGCAUGUCUGAAUCUAUUUAAUCUCUUGCACCUGUUUGGCAAAUUGAUGUUUUAAGUAUUUAAAUAACUAAAGCUCUCUCUACAGUACAUACUCACUUUUGAUUUAUGAAUUGGCAAAAUUCAACUUUUUUCCUUGAAUAUUCUUAAAGUGAGAUGAAUUCCAAAGGAGAGUGUUCUGUGUGUGGCCUUCAUUGAGUGGUUUUCUGUUACCAGAAAGCUCUUGGUGGCCUUCCUCUUCCCUGGUGUCAAGGUUGACUGUUAUAGGAAAUGGGAGGGGAGAGGGCCGUUUCUGCCACGCAUUGUCCUAGGUUCUUAACAUUAUUUAAUCCUUAUAAUGCAAUGUUAUCCUCAUUUUACAGAUGAAACCUGAGACCAAAGAACAUGUAACACAUAAAGUACAUUGCAGAGUUAGGAUGUGAACCCAACUCUGAUUCUAAACCUAAUGCUCUCACUCUUUCAUUCAGAGGUUCAGUCAGUUCUUUGUAGGCUGUAGAUCCAGAGAAGCUGCCGUAGCCAACAAUGAAGUUGUUAGUUUUUAAAACAUCUAUGUGGUAAGUUGGUCUGGCACUUAAAAAUGUAUUGUUUCCCAGGCACGGUGGUUCACACCUGUAAUCCCAGCAUUUUGGGAGGCCGAGGCAGGCGGAUCAUUAGGUCAAAAGAUUGAGACCAUCCUGACCAACAUGGUGAAACCCCGUCUCUACUAAAAGUACAAAAAUUAGCUGGGUGUGGUGGCGCAUGCCUCUAGUCCCAGCUACCUGGGAGGCUGAGGCAGGAGAAUUGCUUGAACCCAGGAGGCAGAGGUUGCAGUGAGCCAAGAUCAUGCUACUGCACUACAGCCUGGCAACAAAGCGAGACUCUGUCUAAAAUAUAUAUAUAUAUAUAUAUUGUUUACUACUCACCACAGAUCUGCAGGAGUUCACUGAUCUCUAGGAUCUGCCUUAACUCCAACUUACAUGUUUUGGUCACUAUUACAAACUGUCAUCCCAGAAUGAUGCUGCAGAGGCUAGGGCUAGGACACAGACCAGUGUUUCCAUGUGGGAAUUCCCUCCCAGUAUUUCUUAGGAAAUGUAUGUUUUUUGAAUCCAUAAUCCCUAGAAAAAUCAGUUGAGGAAAUGAGAAGUAUUGUAAUUAUUCUGUGAAUAGUAACACUUACCAUUAUGGAGACAUCACUAGUUUGAAAGAAUCCAACUUCAUCAAAUAUUAACGUACCGAGUUGAAGGCUACAAGAACUGAGACAGGAGCAUAGCAGAGAGAAACGGUCACCAUCUCAUUAGCCCUAUUUUUGGUUGUUGUGAUGCCAUUACAUCUGUAUAUCUGGCCAUAUCAGCUGCUAAUGGUGAGUUCUUGCAAACAAAAUGAUUUGAUAAACAACCUACCAUACUUUAUACAAAUCUUAUGGUGUUCCGAGAAAUAAACUUUGGAAGCAAAAUAAGUUAACAGUCUGGACACGAUUGAUUCUAUAUUCUGUUUACCUUGCUCUAGGCUAUUCAAAUGUUAUAUUUAUUUGAACACUAUCCAAUAUAUGUUCCCUGGCAUCUUCCUGUCUUUUAAAUAUUCUCUGUACGCUACAGUUCUUUGUAAGUAAAAAUAAGCUUAAUAUGUCUACUUAGCAAACAAAGUUUUUCCAGAUACCUAUAAUAAUGAGGAAAACAGUAUAAAGAAUGAAGUAUUUGAAGAAUAACUUAUAAUUUGGGGGAUUUCUGAGAAUUCUACUUCUUUGUCCCUAAUUUCCGAAGGUAAAUGUUUGUUGUGAAUUUGGAAACACUAGACUACAGAAAAGCAGGCACUCUCUAGCCUGGGAGGCCCACUGAUCUUAGGAGGGUCCAUAUAGCUGCUUAUUGCAGACCUUGCACUAGAACCCAGGUCUUUUGACACCUGGUGCCACUUUUCAUUCCAUUCCAUUAAUUAUAGCCCAGAGAAUAACCACCACCACCCCCAAGUCCCAUUGUGGUUUUAUUCUGAGGACAGAUAAAAGGUUGAAGCUGAUGGAGUGGUAGAAAGAAGUGGGAGCCAUAGUGAAUGAAGACGUUUAAGGGCAGAUAUUAACACCACUGAGUCCUUCAUUCGGGAUUACAGGUUACACUUUACCCCUCAAACUGUAGAAUUCAGUGGAAUCCAUGGCCUUUACCUCUCUAUAGAUGACCUUUUUCCUACCCCUUUACAUCUCCUGUUUUUUUCCUCUCCAAACUGCCCUAAAUUUAGAGGUUUAUUUUGAAGUAAUAAUCAGUCACACACAGCAAAGUCUCUCCCAACACAUGGGGAGCAGAUGUGCUGGGAUUAUCACUGCCAUUUGAAGGGUGAUAAAACUGAAGGAAAGGAAUCUGACUAAAGUGGCACAGGUUAGAACUAGCAGAGUCAGGUCUAGAACUCAUUUCAUAUUUCUAGAAUUGUGUGAUGAUGUACUGAUAAAGUUUUACGAUGCCCGGAUCUAAGUAUUAUAAUAGUGUCAAUUUCUAAGUUCAUUUUCCAUCUUUUACCUCUCAGUGGCACUCAACUAAUGUUUUUUGCCCCCAAAGGUCGGGUACUCACAAAAGAUUCCAUAUUCUCUCUGGCAGUAAGGGUGAGAAUGUUGCUGGCAGUGGUAGGAGUGGCAAGGUGGCCAGAGGACAGGGUCCUGCCAUUCCUCCUCAGCCUCCAGUAAACCAAGUGCAAAAGCCAGAGCCAAUUCCUUCUGCCACCCAGCAGCUAAUUCACUAUAGGGAAGACAAGUGAUUGUUCAAAGGGAGGUUUUAAAUCAUAAAUCAGACACAUUAAUUAUAACUUUAACAAAUGUUAUUAAAAGCAGCAAUUAAAAACCAUGAAUCUUUUUGAAGGUGCAGAGGGUUAUAAGGUCAGUUGGCAGUAAUGCAGCUAUUAUCUGGUAUGAAUGAAAUGCUGGGGUGGGGAGUCAGGGUGACCUCAUUAGGCCUUGUGCUAUCUUCCCAGGUAGGGAAGGUCCAGAUGUACUAUAACAGGAUUGCUCAUCCCAGGCUAUCUCAGAAGUCUGGAAAGCAG